GAUGAACGCUAGCGGCAGGCCUAAUACAUGCAAGUCGGACGGGAUUGGGGAGCUUGCUCCCCAUGAGAGUGGCGCACGGGUGCGUAACACGUAUGUAACCUACCCUUGUCAGGGGGAUAGCCUCUCGAAAGAGAGAUUAACACCGCAUAACAUUAUUGGAUGGCAUCAUUUAAUAAUCAAAUAUUUAUAGGACAAGGAUGGGCAUGCGGGACAUUAGCUAGUUGGUAGGGUAACGGCUUACCAAGGCUACGAUGUCUAGGGGAUCUGAGAGGAGGGCCCCCCACACGGGUACGGAGACACGGACCAGACUCCUACGGGAGGCAGCAGUAAGGAAUAUUGGUCAAUGGGCGCAAGCCUGAACCAGCCAUGCCGCGUGCAGGAAGACGGCCCUACGGGUUGUAAACUGCUUUUGCGCCGGAAUAAACCCUUUUACGAGUAAGAGGCUGAAUGUACGGCGAGAAUAAGGAUCGGCUAACUCCGUGCCAGCCGCCGCAGUAAUAC
rnacentral:rRNA from 1 species